rnacentral:rRNA from 1 species
GACGAACGCUGGCGGCGUGCUUAACACAUGCAAGUCGAACGGAAAGGCCCUGCUUGCAGGGUACUCGAGUGGCGAACGGGUGAGUAACACGUGGGUGAUCUGCCCUGCACUUCGGGAUAAGCCUGGGAAACUGGGUCUAAUACCGGAUAGGAGCCAUUUUUAGUGUGAUGGUUGGAAAGUUUUUUCGGUGUAGGAUGAGCUCGCGGCCUAUCAGCUUGUUGGUGGGGUAAUGGCCUACAAAGGCGGCGACGGGUAGCCGGCCUGAGAGGGUGGACGGCCACAUUGGGACUGAGAUACGGCCCAGACUCCUACGGGAGGCAGCAGUGGGGAAUAUUGCACAAUGGGCGCAAGCCUGAUGCAGCGACGCCGCGUGGGGGAUGACGGCCUUCGGGUUGUAAACUCCUUUCGCCAGGGACGAAGCUUUUUGUGACGGUACCUAGAGAAGAAGCACCGGCUAACUACGUG